rnacentral:rRNA from 1 species
AGAGUUUGAUUCUGGCUCAGAACGAACGCUGGCGGCGUGCCUAACACAUGCAAGUCGAGCGAGAAAGUCCCCGCAAGGGGAUGAGUAAAGCGGCGAACGGGUGAGUAACACGUGGGCAACCUGCCCUUCAGUCGGGAAUAACCCAUCGAAAGGUGGGCUAAUACCGGAUAAUGUCCUUUGGGGGCAUCUUCGGAGGACCAAAGGGGGCGAGCGAAAGCGGCUCCCGCUGAGGGAUGGGCCUGCGGCUGAUUAGCUAGUUGGUGGGGUAGCGGCCUACCAAGGCAACGAUCAGUAGCCGACCUGAGAGGGUGACCGGCCACACUGGGACUGAGACACGGCCCAGACUCCUACGGGAGGCAGCAGUGGGGAAUAUUGCGCAAUGGGCGAAAGCCUGACGCAGCGACGCCGCGUGGGUGAUGAAGGCCUUCGGGUCGUAAAACCCUGUCGGGUGGAACGAAUCUCCUUUUCUCCAAUACAGGAGAGGAUUGACGGUACCACCGAAGGAAGCCCCGGCUAACUACGUGCCAGCAGCCGCGGUAAUACGUAGGGGGCGAGCGUUGUUCGGAUUUACUGGGCGUAAAGAGCGCGUAGGUGGUUCGAUGAGUCGGAUGUGAAAUCCCUCGGCUCAACCGAGGACCCGCGUCCGAUACUGUCGAACUUGAGUGCAGGAGAGGAGAGCGGAAUUCCCAGUGUAGCGGUGAAAUGCGUAGAUAUUGGGAGGAACACCGGUGGCGAAGGCGGCUCUCUGGACUGUCACUGACACUGAGGCGCGAAAGCUAGGGGAGCAAACGGGAUUAGAUACCCCGGUAGUCCUAGCCGUAAACGAUGGGCACUAGGUGUGGGAGGUAUCGACCCCUUCCGUGCCGCAGCUAACGCAUUAAGUGCCCCGCCUGGGGAGUACGGCCGCAAGGUUGAAACUCAAAGGAAUUGACGGGGGCCCGCACAAGCGGUGGAGCAUGUGGUUUAAUUCGACGCAACGCGAAGAACCUUACCAGGGCUUGACAUCCCGCGAAUCCUGCUGAAAGGCAGGAGUGCCCGCAAGGGAACGUGGAGA